rnacentral:rRNA from 1 species
CCAGCAGCUGCGGUAAUACGGAGGGUGCAAGCGUUAUCCGGAUUCACUGGGUUUAAAGGGUGUGUAGGCGGGUAUUUAAGUCAGUGGUGAAAUCUCCGAGCUCAACUCGGAAACUGCCAUUGAUACUAUUUAUCUUGAAUAUUGUUGAGGUAGGCGGAAUAUGUCAUGUAGCGGUGAAAUGCUUAGAUAUGACAUAGAACACCGAUUGCGAAGGCAGCUUGCUAAACAAUUAUUGACGCUGAGGCACGAAAGCGUGGGGAUCAAACAGGAUUAGAUACCCUGGUAGUCCACGCCCUAAACGAUGAUUACUGGACAUUUGCGAUAUACAGUGAGUGUCUGAGCGAAAGCAUUAAGUAAUCCACCUGGGAAGUACGUCCGCAAGGAUGAAACUCAAAGGAAUUGACGGGGGUCCGCACAAGCGGUGGAGUAUGUGGUUUAAUUCGAUGAUACGCGAGGAACCUUACCUGGGCUAGAAUGCGCGUGACCGGUUCUGAAAGGAACUCUUCUAGCAA